AACCACCAUGCCGCCUGCUGGCCCCAAAAUAGAUUAUUAAUCAGUUUUUAGAGCCUUGAAAAUAUUGUGCAUCUAUUUUCCCAAAGUGAAUAAAGGCCAGCUUAUGUGUAGAAGAACUCAGAGAAUUUAUCUCCCCUUUUCCACCAUCAAAAGUAAAAGAUAAUUUUCUUUGUUAUCUUCUACAGGGUAUAAAUUUUUUCUUUCACCCCUUUUUAUCCUAUUUGAUCUCUCAUGGCAUCUUCUCAUUGGAAAAGCCCAGACAUUAUCUAUGACCCCCUACCUCAUCAUUACAUUCGACCAUCUAAAUACCAGGGAUGGGCCAGGACUCUGAGAAGAUCCCUUGAUCCAGAAACCUCUUAUCAGUCACUUGGCUCGUUUGGAUAUGCGGCAUCCUAGUUACCCCCAGGACAAGAAUGUAAUCCAUCCAACCUGGGGAAAGAGAAGUACUCAAAUCUAGUUUACUAGAGAAGCUCUUGCAAAGUUUACAACUUAGGGGCUCAGGUUCUCUAAAAGACUGAAACCUAAUCAUGUAACUACAGAAUGCUUCCUUUCCCCAACACCUUAUCCUACAUCACUAAAGGCUUAGUUACCUGA